UUCUGGCUCAGGACGAACGCUGGCGGCGUGCCUAAUACAUGCAAGUCGAACGGUCUUUCUAUGGAAGCUUGCUUCCACUGAGAAGAUAGUGGCGAACGGGUGAGUAACACGUGGGUAACCUGCCCAUAAGAGGGGGGAUAACAUCCGGAAACGGGUGCUAAUACCGCAUGGUUUUCUUGAUUGCAUGAUUGAGAAAGGAAAGACGGCCUUUGUGCUGUCGCUUAUGGAUGGACCCGCGGCGUAUUAGUUAGUUGGUGAGGUAACGGCUCACCAAGACGAUGAUACGUAGCCGACCUGAGAGGGUGAUCGGCCACAUUGGGACUGAGACACGGCCCAAACUCCUACGGGAGGCAGCAGUAGGGAAUCUUCCGCAAUGGACGAAAGUCUGACGGAGCAACGCCGCGUGAGUGAAAGAAGGUUUUCGGAUCGUAAAACUCUGUUGUCAGAGAAGAACAAGUUGGAGAGUAACUGCUCCAGCCUUGACGGUAUCUGACCAGAAAGCCACGGCUAACUACGUGCCAGCCGCCGC
rnacentral:rRNA from 1 species